AUGAACGCUGGCGGCGUGCCUCAUACAUGCCAGUCGCGCGAACAGACGAGGAGCUUGCUCCUCUGACGUUAGCGGCGGACGGGUGAGUAACACGUGGAUAACCUACCUAUAAGACUGGGAUAACUUCGGGAAACCGGAGCUAAUACCGGAUAAUAUAUUGAACCGCAUGGUUCAAUAGUAAAAGUCGGUUUUGCUGUCACUUAUAGAUGGAUCCGCGCCGCAUUAGCUAGUUGGUAAGGUAACGGCUUACCAAGGCGACGAUGCGUAGCCGACCUGAGAGGGUGAUCGGCCACACUGGAACUGGGACACGGUCCAGACUCCUACGGUAGGCAGCAGUAGGGAAUCUUCCGCAAUGGGCGAAAGCCUGACGGAGCAACGCCGCGUGAGUGAUGAAGGUCUUCGGAUCGUAAAACUCUGUUAUUAGUGAAGAACAAAUGUGUAAGUAACUAUGCACGUCUUGACGGUACCUAAUCAGAAAGCCACGGCUAACUACGUG
rnacentral:rRNA from 1 species